rnacentral:rRNA from 1 species
AUUGAACGCUGGCGGCAGGCCUAACACAUGCAAGUCGAACGGUAACAGGAAACAGCUUGCUGUUUCGCUGACGAGUGGCGGACGGGUGAGUAAUGUCUGGGAAACUGCCUGAUGGAGGGGGAUAACUACUGGAAACGGUAGCUAAUACCGCAUAACGUCGCAAGACCAAAGAGGGGGACCCUCGGGCCUCUUGCCAUCGGAUGUGCCCAGAUGGGAUUAGCUUGUUGGUGGGGUAACGGCUUACCAAGGCGACGAUCCCUAGCUGGUCUGAGAGGAUGACCAGCCACACUGGAACUGAGACACGGUCCAGACUCCUACGGGAGGCAGCAGUGGGGAAUAUUGCACAAUGGGCGCAAGCCUGAUGCAGCCAUGCCGCGUGUAUGAAGAAGGCCUUCGGGUUGUAAAGUACUUUCAGCGGGGAGGAAGGGAGUAAAGUUAAUACCUUUGCUCAUUGACGUUACCCGCAGAAGAAGCACCGGCUAACUCCGUG